CAUGCUGAUUAAGGUUGCUUGGUUUUUUACUAAACAUUAACUGAAUGAAAACGGGUAGUCCUUGUUCUGCUUGGGGGGCUUUAAGGAAGCAAAUGGACUUUCAGAACAGAGAUUGUCAAUAAAGCAGAUUGGCCAAGAUGGUGAAGUAGAAAGACCCUGGGCUCACCUCCUCUUGUAAGCAAACCAAAGCCAUGACUAUCUGCAGAACAACCAUGGAUAAGAAAGACCAAAACCCACACCUACCAGAAAAAAUCUUCUACAACUCAAGACAUAAAGAAGAAACUACAGAGAGACAGGAGCGAGUUGAUAUUUGGCCUCUGAAAUGUGGUCCCAAGCUUGGGUCACUGGAUACUUUAGUGUGUGAUGAGGAAUGCACGUGGGAAGACUAUUAUGUGCCUGACACACAGUAGGCUCUCACUGGUGUGCUGAAUGAAUGACCCGAGGGAGGGGACUCCAGCAAACCGAAGGUCAUUUCUCUGGAGCAACUUUCAUAAUAAGCUGGGCCAAACUCCUACUGAAGUUUACCACUUACUUAUUUAGGAUAGUCGAAUUUCAACAGAUGGGGGCUGAUCGAAAUUACCUUUCCCUGCUAGCUUGCUUAAAAUUAGACCACUGCUCUUGGAAAAAAGAACAUUAGAGUUUAAAAUUGUAUGAUGACAAAUUAUCACAUUUUGGCUCAAAUUUAAAAUAAAUAAAUGUAUUCCUUUGCUUUUGACAAAGUGUUUGGAAAACAUAGUCUUUGGCUUUGAGUUUUAGGUUGUAAAAUGAAGCUGUUGUGGACAAAUAAAUAAUAGUAGAGCUAUUUUCCCGGCUAGGCUUCUAGGUUAGAAAUAUUCCACAUAUCUGUGGAAACAUGCUCUCCCGGUAAAACUCCAGACAAUCACUGGUUUUCUACAAGAAGAUCUAUAUUCGUCCAGUCACAGACAUUUAUAAGCAUAAUUGUUGGUUAAUUGUCUGUGUUUAUUUUUAUGAUAAAUGUUUCAAAGCUGCUGUUCUCUGGGGUUUUCACAUAAAGGAAGAUACUUGUUGGAAUUUUAACCACACUACAAUUAAAAUGAAAUGCAAUCAAUAAAAUAUUAAUGCAGGUAUGCUUGAAGAUCAAUUACCUAAUGGUUAGGUCCAUACCCAUCAUUCUUUAGCUUUCUGAAGGUCAAUAUAUAGCACAGUCAAUGAGUUAACCAGCAAAUCAAAAACAUAGUAUCUGUCUAGUUGUGAGUCUAUUAUUAAUUCCUUAAUAAAGUGCAUGACUUGA